AGUGAACGCUGGCGGUAGGCCUAACACAUGCAAGUCGAACGGCAGCACAGAGGAGCUUGCUCCUUGGGUGGCGAGUGGCGGACGGGUGAGGAAUACAUCGGAAUCUACUCUGCCGUGGGGGAUAACGUAGGGAAACUUACGCUAAUACCGCGUACGACCUACGGGUGAAAGCAGGGGAUCUUCGGACCUUGCGCGAUUGAAUGAGCCGAUGUCGGAUUAGCUAGUUGGCGGGGUAAAGGCCCACCAAGGCGACGAUCCGUAGCUGGUCUGAGAGGAUGAUCAGCCACACUGGAACUGAGACACGGUCCAGACUCCUACGGGAGGCAGCAGUGGGGAAUAUUGGACAAUGGGCGCAAGCCUGAUCCAGCCAUACCGCGUGGGUGAAGAAGGCCUUCGGGUUGUAAAGCCCUUUUGUUGGGAAAGAAAUCCAGCCGGCUAAUACCUGGUUGGGAUGACGGUACCCAAAGAAUAAGCACCGGCUAACUUCGUG
rnacentral:rRNA from 1 species